rnacentral:lncRNA from 1 species
GGGGGAAGAAGCUGCUGGGGAGAGAGCUGUUUUGGAAAGGAUUUGAUGGAAAAUGCAAACCGGGCAUGGAGAGGUACGAGGAAGUACAAGACCAUGAAGUUGAUGGAACUCACCUCCAUUUUCUCUGGAAGGUAAAAGGGAAGAGAGCAGUUGCAUGCUUUGUCAAAAUUAGAACUAUCUUCCCGGAGCUGAGCGCAAUUCGCACACGUCUUUGUGUAAUUUAUCUGUCAGAAUCGAAAAACAAUAGUUCACUUAAAGGUCAUAUGAGUCCACAUCUUAAAAUUCAAUGCCCAAGCCUCCCUCCCCCUUCCAUCCCCCCCCCCCCUUUUGGGAUGGAUCCUGCGACAGGGCUAGAGGG